rnacentral:rRNA from 1 species
GACGAACGCUGGCGGCGUGCUUAACACAUGCAAUUCGAACGUAAAGGCCUCUUUCGGGUGGUACUCGUGUGUCGAACGGGUGAGUAACACUUGAGUAACCUGCCCUUGACUUUUUGUUAACUUCAGGCAACUGGGGCUAAUACCGGAUCGGAGCUCCUGCUGCCUGUUGGGGGUUGGAAAGUUUCGGCGGUUGGGUUUGGACUCGCGGCUUAUCAGCUUGUUUCUGGGGUUGUGGCUUACCAAGGCUUUGACGGGUAGGCGGGCGGAGAGGGUGAGCGGCCACAGUGGGACUGAGAUACGGCCCAGGCUGCGACGGGAGGCAGCAGUGGGGAGUAAUGCAGAAGGGGCGGAGGCGUGAUGCAGCAAGGCCGUGUGGGGGAUGAAGGCCUUCGGGUUGUAAAACGAUUUCGGUCAUGACGAAGCGUUGGGUGACGGUAGUGGGUAAAGAAGCACCGGCUAACUACGUG